UAUAUACUCCCUCCGUCCAAAAAUACUUGUCGGAGAAAUGGAUAAAAUUGAAUGUAUCUAUGACUAAAAUACGUCUAGAUUCAUCCAUUUCUUCGACAAGUAUUUUCAGACGGAGGGAGUAUAAG
rfam:Triticum aestivum genome assembly, contig: Triticum_aestivum_CS42_TGACv1_scaffold_225179_3B